rnacentral:rRNA from 1 species
GACAUCCCGGUCGCGGACUCCAGAGACGGAGUUCUUUCAGUUUCGGCUGGACCGGAGACAGGUGCUGCAUGGCUGUCGUCAGCUCGUGUCGUGAGAUGUUGGGUUAAGUCCCGCAACGAGCGCAACCCCCGUCCUUAGUUGCUACCAUUUAGUUGAGCACUCUAAGGAGACUGCCGGUGAUAAGCCGCGAGGAAGGUGGGGAUGACGUCAAGUCCUCAUGGCCCUUACGGGCUGGGCUACACACGUGCUACAAUGGCGGUGACAAUGGGAUGCUAAGGGGCGACCCUUCGCAAAUCUCAAAAAGCCGUCUCAGUUCGGAUUGGGCUCUGCAACUCGAGCCCAUGAAGUUGGAAUCGCUAGUAAUCGUGGAUCAGCACGCCACGGUGAAUACGUUCCCGGGCCUUGUACACACCGCCCGUCACACCAUGGGAGUUGGUUUUACCUGAAGACGGUGCGCUAACCGAAAGGGGGCAGCCGGCCACGGUAGGGUCAGCGACUGGGGUGAAGUCGUAACAAGGUAAGCGUAGUGCU